ACCUUACCAGGGCUUGACAUGGGGAGGCUGUAUUCAGAGAUGGAUAUUUCCUGCAAGGGACCUCCUGCACAGGUGCUGCAUGGCUGUCGUCAGCUCGUGUCGUGAGAUGUUGGGUUAAGUCCCGCAACGAGCGCAACCCUCGCCUUUAGUUGCCAGCAUGAUUGGGUGGGCACUCUAAAGGAACUGCCGGUGACAAGCCGGAGGAAGGUGGGGAUGACGUCAAGUCCUCAUGGCCCUUAUGUCCUGGGCUACACACGUGCUACAAUGGCGGUGACAGUGGGGAGCCAGGCAGUGAUGCCGAGCUGAUCUCAAAAAGCCGUCUCAGUUCGGAUUGCACUCUGCAACUCGAGUGCAUGAAGGUGGAAUCGCUAGUAAUCGCGGAUCAGCAUGCC
rnacentral:rRNA from 1 species